AAAGAAUAGUUUUAAUAUGAUUUGACAAGGUUCUGAAUAAAUAUUAGAUCCAAUCAAGAGUUUAAUUCCUGUACAUUAUGUAAAUUUAUUACAAGUUUUGAAGAAUUUAGUUUCCGCCUUUAUGGCAAAUGUCAUUUUGAUCAAUUGAUAUACAUGUACAUUUGCACAAUGAAAGGGGAAAAUAUACUAAUCAUAAUGUUGUUGAUGUCUGUCAUUUUAUCAGUUUUUGUGCAGAUUGCUAUUUCUUGCAAUGCCUCAGGUUAUGUUCCUUGUUGUGAAGGCUAUAUGUUAAACACAACAUCCGGGGAUUGCACAAAAUGUUCCGUUGGGUUUAUUGGCUAUCAGUGUAAACAGCCAUGCCCUUUUCCAAGCUUUGGAGAAGGGUGUCAAUCAGUCUGCAAGUGCUCUCAAAAUCUGUGUAGUGUUUCAACAGGAUGCCAAGAGCCAUCAGGAAGUGAGUGAACUUUGAACGUCCCCAACUUCCAAUUCUAGAUAUGUCACUGCAGAACCAUCAACAAAAAUAUCAAAUGAAAACAUCAGUAUUAAUGGUACAGCAGAAUUCAUUGCCAUCGGAAAUUCUGUAGUCCAUGGAGGAAGUGACGUCAUAAUUUUUACGUCAUCCUUACUUACAGUGGUGGUGCUCGGAAUUCUUGUUUAUGGAGGCUACAAACGCCGCAGAAACAGAAUUGACAGAGAGUGCAACCAUGCUUAUCAGUCUACAGGGCGAUUUGUUGAUGAUUGUGAAAUUAAACAUACUUAUGCUGCAAUUGAAAUGGGACUGAUUUCGUAAUCUGGUUUUUGGAAGGACAGAUGAUUGUCAUUUUCAUAAUUUUAUUGAUCACGAGCAGUUGAUAUACAAAAGAAGGGGAAAAAAAUCAUAGACAUAUAAGUACAUUGAAAUAUUUGAUGAAUUU